rnacentral:tRNA from 1 species
GGCAUAGCUCAAUUGGUAGAGUAGCGGUCUCCAAAACCGUUGGUUGGGGGUUCGAGUCCCUCUGCCC